GCUUGAGGGAAAAAGAAAACCCAAACAGGAGAUUGCCUCAGUAACGGCGAGUGAAGCCGGCAACAGCUCAAAAUUUGAAACCUGCCAACAGGCCGGAUUGUAAUUUGUAGAGGAUGCUUUUGGGGUAGGCACUGAUCUAAGUUUCUUGGAACAGUACGUCACAGAGGGUGAGAAUCCCGUUCGUGGUCGGUUGCCUGCUCCGUGUAAAGCUCCUUCGACGAGUCGAGUUGUUUGGGAAUGCAGCUCAAAAUGGGUGGUAAAUUUCAUCUAAAGCUAAAUAUUGGCCAGAGACCGAUAGCGCACAAGUAGAGUGAUCGAAAGAUGAAAAGCACUUUGGAAAGAGAGUUAAACAGCACGUGAAAUUGUUGAAAGGGAAGCGCUUGCAAUCAGACUUGCGCGUAGGUAAUCAAGGGCGGUUCGCUGCCCUGCACUUGCCUGCGCUCAGGCCAGCAUCAGUUCUGGGGGUGGGAGAAAGGCCGUUGGAAUGUGGCUCUUCGGAGUGUUAUAGCCUUCGGUGCCAUGCUGCCUCCCGGGACUGAGGACCGCGCUUCGGCUAGGAUGCUGGCGUAAUGAUUGUAAGCGACCCGUCUUGAAACACGGACCAAGGAGUCUAACAUCUAUGCGAGUGUUUGGGUGUCAAACCCACACGCGGAAUGAAAGUGAACGGAGGUGAGAACCCUUGAGGGUGCAUCAUCGACCGAUCCUGAUGUCUUCGGAUGGAUUUGAGUAUGAGCAUAGCUGUUGGGACCCGAAAGAUGGUGAACUAUGCCCUGAAUAGGGUGAAGCCAGAGGAAACUCUGGUGGAGGCUCGCAGCGGUUCUGACGUGCAAAUCGAUCGUCAAUAUUUGGCAUAGAGCGAAAGAC
rnacentral:rRNA from 1 species